rnacentral:rRNA from 1 species
UACGAAGGGGGCUAGCGUUGUUCGGAAUUACUGGGCGUAAAGCGCACGUAGGCGGUUUCUUAAGUCGGGGGUGAAAUCCUGGAGCUCAACUCCAGAACUGCCUUCGAUACUGGGAAACUUGAGUCCGGGAGAGGUGAGUGGAACUGCGAGUGUAGAGGUGAAAUUCGUAGAUAUUCGCAAGAACACCAGUGGCGAAGGCGGCUCACUGGCCCGGUACUGACGCUGAGGUGCGAAAGCGUGGGGAGCAAACAGG